rnacentral:rRNA from 1 species
UACGUAGGGUGCAAGCGUUAAUCGGAAUUACUGGGCGUAAAGCGUGCGCAGGCGGUUUUGUAAGUCAGAUGUGAAAUCCCCGGGCUUAACCUGGGAACUGCGUUUGAAACUACAAGGCUAGAGUGUGACAGAGGGGGGUGGAAUUCCACGUGUGGCAGUGAAAUGCGUAGAGAUGUGGAGGAACACCGAUGGCGAAGGCAGCCCCCUGGGUUAACACUGACGCUCAGGCACGAAAGCGUGGGGAGCAAACAGG